CCUACGGGUGGCUGCAGUGGGGGAUAUUGGACAAUGGGGGGAACCCUGAUCCAGCGACGCCGCGUGAGUGAAGAAGUAUUUCGGUAUGUAAAGCUCUGUCAGCAGGGAAGAAAGAAAUGACGGUACCUGACCAAGAAGCCCCGGCUAACUACGUGCCAGCAGCCGCGGUAAUACGUAGGGGGCAAGCGUUAUCCGGAAUUACUGGGUGUAAAGGGAGCGUAGACGGUUAAGUAAGUCUGGAGUGAAAGGCCGGGGCCCAACCCCGGGACUGCUCUGGAAACUAUUGAACUUGAGUACAGGAGAGGAAAGCGGAAUUCCUAGUGUAGCGGUGAAAUGCGUAGAUAUUAGGAAGAACACCAGUGGCGAAGGCGGCUUUCUGGACUGAAACUGACGCUGAGGCACGAAAGCGUGGGGAGCGAACAGGAUUAGAUACCCGAGUAGUC
rnacentral:rRNA from 1 species